UACGUAGGGUGCAAGCGUUAAUCGGAAUUACUGGGCGUAAAGCGUGCGCAGGCGGUUGUGCAAGACCGAUGUGAAAUCCCCCGGGCGUUAACCUGGGAAUGGCAUUGGUGACUGCACGGCUAGAGUGUGUCAGAGGGGGGGUAGAAUUCCACGUGUAGCAGUGAAAUGCGUAGAGAUGUGGAGGAACACCCGAUGGCGAAGGCAGCCCCCUGGGUCAAGAUUGACGCUCAUGCACGAAAGCGUGGGGGAGCAACAGG
rnacentral:rRNA from 1 species